CGUAUACUUAAUUACCAUGUUGCUGCUUCUAUUUCUGGACUUGCUCUUUUAUUUCUAUCAACUUGUACCUUUGUAAUAGACUGUUUCAUCCCCCCAGUACAUAGUCGUAUCUUCUAGUUGUGAGUGCCUCUGGUUGUGCUGUGUGGGCGCCGCCUCAGCAUGGCCUGAUGAGCGGUGCCAUGUCCGCGCCCCGGAUCAGAACCAGUGAGACCCUGGGCGGCCCAAGCGGAGCGUGAGAACUUAACCACUCAGCCACGGGGCCAGCCCCUGUUUGUUUGUUUGUAAUUUCAGCAAAGUAGCCAUUUAUUUUAUUCUUUCUUGUCUGUUAAUGUAUUCACAUCUUUAAGACUUUAACUCUCCUCUGAGUAGUGCUCAUGCUGAAUCCUGUAGGAAGGAUGCACAGUGUUUCUACGAUCGUUUGUAUACAGUCUUCAAUUUCAAUUUGCUCUCUGAUUCAAGAGUUGUUUGAAAGAUUUGCAAGAGCUUAAUCACAGCUCCCUCAAUGAAUAACUUCAUUGAAUUUGCAAUAUCUCUGCAAACUGAUCUCUGAAUCAGCAUGGCACAGUUAAGCCAGUUCUAGCAAAUUUGGAACUGUAUCUUAAAGAACUGUCUCACCUUACCACCCACAGGCUCUCAGCUCCUGAGAGCAGAAACCAAGUGUUGCUUGUCUUUGUGCAUCUAGCACAGAACCUGCCCAAAGCAGGUGCUCAGCAAGUAUUUGCUGAGCGGAACUGUCCUCAACUACCUAAUGGAAAAAGAGAAGAAAGGCAUUUCUUCACUGGACUGGCAAGUAGAAAUGAAUUCAGCCUUACCUGAAAUAGACACACAAACUCCCAGAGGCGGACCAGCGCACCUCUGAGGGUAUGGUUUCUGACCGGUCACUUGGGAGCAUCAUGCCCCUCACCCACAGGCUCAAUUCCAUCUCUGUUUUUGAACAUCGUGGUCCAAGUUCUGUCUCCUCUCAUAAUGUAAGAAACAGAUCCAUGUCUAGUUAUUUUGAGUCAAUGGAAGAUAUUUAAAAUAUUGAUACUUUAAAAGUUUAAAUGAAAUGUUAAUCAAAGGUGGUUUGUGAUGAUUUGCUUUCUAUGACUAUUUUUU
rnacentral:lncRNA from 1 species